GGCGCUAUGGUGUAGAGGUAGCACAUGGGAUUUUGAUGUUAUGGAUUCCCAUAACCCAGGUUCGAACCCUGGUAGUGCCU